rnacentral:rRNA from 1 species
GAUGAACGCUGGCGGCGUGCCUAAUACAUGCAAGUCGAGCGAACAGACGAGGAGCUUGCUCCUCUGACGUUAGCGGCGGACGGGUGAGUAACACGUGGAUAACCUACCUAUAAGACUGGGAUAACUUCGGGAAACCGGAGCUAAUACCGGAUAAUAUAUUGAACGGCAUGGUUCAAUAGUGAAAGAGGGUUUUGCUGUCACUUAUAGAUGGUUCCGCGCCGCAUUAGCUAGUUGGUAAGGUAACGGCUUACCAAGGCAACGAUGCGUAGCCGACCUGAGAGGGUGAUCGGCCACACUGGAACUGAGACACGGUCCAGACUCCUACGGGAGGCAGCAGUGGGGAAUCUUCCGCAAUGGGCGAAAGCCUGACGGAGCAACGCCGCGUGAGUGAUGAAGGUCUUCGGAUCGUAAAGCUCUGUUAUUAGGGAAGAACAAAUGUGUAAGUAACUAUGCCCGUCUUGACGGUACCUAAUGAGAAAGCCACGGCUAACUACGUG